CAGCCGCCGCGGGAAAACAGAGGGUGCGAGCGUUAAUCGGAUUUACUGGGCGUAAAGCGUGCGUAGGCGGCUUCUUAAGUCGGAUGUGAAAUCCCUGAGCUUAACUUAGGAAUUGCAUUCGAUACUGGGAAGCUAGAGUAUGGGAGAGGAUGGUAGAAUUCCAGGUGUAGCGGUGAAAUGCGUAGAGAUCUGGAGGAAUACCGAUGGCGAAGGCAGCCAUCUGGCCUAAUACUGACGCUGAGGUACGAAAGCAUGGGGAGCAAACAGGAUUAGAUACCCGUGUAGUCCCUGUCUCUUAUAC
rnacentral:rRNA from 1 species